UACAGAAGUGGCAAGCGUUGUUCGGAAUUACUGGGCGUAAAGGGCGCGUAGGCGGUCUUCUAAGUCUUGUGUGAAGUCCCUCGGCUCAACUGAGGAACUGCACGGGAUACUGGAUGACUUGAGUUCGGGAGAGGGAAGCGGAAUUCCGGGUGUAGCGGUGAAAUGCGUAGAUAUCCGGAGGAACACCGGUGGCGAAGGCGGCUUCCUGGACCGAUCACUGACGCUGAGGCGCGAAAGCUAGGGGAGCAAACGGG
rnacentral:rRNA from 1 species